GAAAGGAACAGUUUCUCAAAACAGUAACGCCUCAAAGUGCAAUGUAACCGCGCUCUAAUGCAAUUUUGGAAGCUUUUGGCUGAAAAUGGUUGGAAAUUAAUGAAAAUAAGUUUAAUUGGUAAACCUUUUUUUCAAAGUUGAUUAAUUAAAAUAUGCAACAUUAUAAAAAUCCAUAAAGAUCGAAAAAAUCGUGGAAAUGUCUAACAUGAAGCCGGUUUCGCGGG
ensembl:ncRNA T25D3.7 ncRNA